rnacentral:misc_RNA from 1 species
UCGUAACAAGGUUUCCGUAGGUGAACCUGCGGAAGGAUCAUUACCGAGUGCGGGCCCUCGCGGCCCAACCUCCCACCCGUGUCUCUCUCUACCUGUUGCUUUGGCGGGCCCACCGGGGCCACCCGGUCGCCGGGGGACGUCCGUCUCCGGGCCCGCGCCCGCCGAAGCGCCCUGUGAACCCUGAUGAAGAUGGGCUGUCUGAGUCGCAUGAAAAUUGUCAAAACUUUCAACAAUGGAUCUCUUGGUUCCGGCAUCGAUGAAGAACGCAGCGAAAUGCGAUAAGUAAUGUGAAUUGCAGAAUUCCGUGAAUCAUCGAAUCUUUGAACGCACAUUGCGCCCCCUGGCAUUCCGGGGGGCAUGCCUGUCCGAGCGUCAUUUCUGCCCUCAAGCGCGGCUUGUGUGUUGGGCGUGGUCCCCCCGGGGACCUGCCCGAAAGGCAGCGGCGACGUCCGUCCGGUCCUCGAGCGUAUGGGGCUCUGUCACUCGCUCGGGACGGAUCGGCGGAGGUUGGUCACCACCACAGUUUUACCACGGUUGACCUCGGAUCAGGUAGGAGUUACCCGCUGAACUUAAGCAUAUCA